UACGUAGGGUGCGAGCGUUGUCCGGAAUUAUUGGGCGUAAAGAGCUUGUAGGUGGUUUGUCGCGUCUGCUGUGAAAAUCCGGGGCUCAACCCCGGACUUGCAGUGGGUACGGGCAGACUAGAGUGUGGUAGGGGAGACUGAAUUCCUGGUGUAGCGGUGGAAUGCGCAGAUAUCAGGAGGAACACCGAUGGCGAAGGCAGGUCUCUGGGCCAUUACUGACACUGAGAAGCGAAAGCAUGGGGAGCGAACAGG
rnacentral:rRNA from 1 species